rnacentral:rRNA from 1 species
CGACGACGGGUAGCCGGCCUGAGAGGGUGACCGGCCACACUGGGACUGAGACACGGCCCAGACUCCUACGGGAGGCAGCAGUGGGGAAUAUUGCACAAUGGGCGAAAGCCUGAUGCAGCGACGCCGCGUGAGGGAUGACGGCCUUCGGGUUGUAAACCUCUUUCAUUAGGGAACAAGGCCAGUGUUUAGCUGGUUGAGGGUACUUGCAGAAGAAGCGCCGGCUAACUACGUGCCAGCAGCCGCGGUAAUACGUAG